rnacentral:rRNA from 1 species
UACGUAGGGGGCAAGCGUUGUCCGGAUUUAUUGGGCGUAAAGAGCGUGUAGGCGGCCACGCAGGUCCGUUGUGAAAACUGGAGGCUCAACCUCCAGCUGUCGACGGAAACCGUAUGGCUAGAGUCCGGAAGAGGAGAGUGGAAUUCCUGGUGUAGCGGUGAAAUGCGCAGAUAUCAGGAAGAACACCAAUGGCGAAGGCAGCUCUCGUGGGCCGGUACUGACGCUGAGGAGCGAAAGCGUGGGGAGCAAACAGG